GCCGCCGCGGUAAUACCGGCGGCUCGAGUGGUGGCCACUAUUACUGGGCUUAAAGCGUUCGUAGCUGGUUUGUUAAGUCUCUGGGGAAAUCUUCCGGCUUAACCGGAAGGCGUCUCAGGGAUACUGGCAGACUAGGGACCGGGAGAGGUGAGAGGUACUCCAGGGGUAGGAGUGAAAUCCUGUAAUCCUUGGGGGACCACCUGUGGCGAAGGCGUCUCACCAGAACGGCUCCGACAGUGAGGGACGAAAGCUGGGGGAGCAAACCGGAUUAGAUACCCGGGUAGUCCCAGCUGUAAACGAUGCGCGUUAGGUGUAUCGGUGACCACGAGUCACCGAGGUGCCGAAGAGAAAUCGUGAAACGUGCCGCCUGGGAAGUACGGUCGCAAGGCUGAAACUUAAAGGAAUUGGCGGGGGAGCAC
rnacentral:rRNA from 1 species